AACGGCCAUACCAUGCUGAAUACACCGGUUCUCGUUAGAUCACCAAAAUCUAGCAUCAUUGGGCGCGGUCAGUACUUGGGUGGGUGACCACCUGGGAACACCGCGUGCCGUU
rnacentral:rRNA from 1 species